UAUGGCAGACUAGUGCAUUGGAUUUAAACUCCUAUUAUAAAGACCCAGCUCUUUUAUUAAAA
rnacentral:tRNA from 1 species